GAAGGCGCCUUGCCAACCAGGCCCAAGAGUUUUUUUAUUUUUUUUUUUAUUUUGUAGACUCGUAAUGGCGAACAAUGUGAAAUGCAAUGGCUUUAAGAACCUCGCUCCAGACGACGUUGGAAAUUGGACAGAUGAAGGUGGGUUAUUUUUUAGCCGGGACCGUCCCGCGGUGCCUCUCGAAACUGCUAUGAAAUCAUGAACGUUGGGUAUCAACCCCAAAGUUACUAGUGCUUAAACAAAGUCUCAAGCAAGACACAGAACUCUCGACAGUCUUUCAACAAGGAAUCUUCUCCACACACCAAGAAAAAA